rnacentral:tRNA from 1 species
CGGGGUGUGGCCUAGCGGCUUAGGGCGUCUGGUUUGGGACCAGAAGAUCGGAGGUUCAAAUCCUCUCGCCCCGA